rnacentral:rRNA from 1 species
UACAGAGGGUGCAAGCGUUGUUCGGAAUUAUUGGGCGUAAAGCGCGUGUAGGCGGCCGUGCAAGUCGGGUGUGAAAGCCCUCAGCUCAACUGAGGAAGUGCGCCCGAAACUGCAUUGCUUGAGUACCGGAGAGGAUGGCGGAAUUCCCGAAGUAGAGGUGAAAUUCGUAGAUAUCGGGAGGAACACCGGUGGCGAAGGCGGCCAUCUGGACGGAUACUGACGCUGAGGAGCGAAAGCGUGGGGAGCGAACAGG